UACGUAGGUGGCAAGCGUUGUCCGGAUUUACUGGGCGUAAAGAGCGCGCAGGCGGUCAGAUAAGUCGAAUGUGAAAGCCCCCGGCUCAACUGGGGAGGGUCAUUCGAUACUGUUCGACUCGAAGGCAGGAGAGGGAAGUGGAAUUCCCGGUGUAGUGGUGAAAUGCGUAGAUACCGGGAGGAACACCAGUGGCGAAGGCGACUUCCUGGCCUGUUCUUGACGCUGAGGCGCGAAAGCUAGGGGAGCGAACGGG
rnacentral:rRNA from 1 species